GCUAAAGUUAAGAAGCCAUACUCAUUUAUUUCUUAUAUUUGAAGGGUGACUCUCCUAACCUAGUUAAGCAAAUGAUCUAGCCUACUUUCUAAUUUCUUAAAUGGAAUGCAAGUCUAAAUGUCAUGUUUCGCGCAUAUAGGGACGAGGGAGAUAAUAUAUAGAGGAAACAUCAUGCAAGGUGGGAAAAGGACUCUAAAAUAAAAAUAUGCAUGAAAUACAAUAAAUGUCAAACAUUUGAUUCUAACGCAUAGGCGGCUCUAAGGGUCUAGUAUUGGACUAACUCAUUUUUAUAAGUUCUCACUAGUGUUGGACUAGUGAGAAAAUGGGGAGAAAAACCACAACUAGCGUUGAACUAGUGUGAUGAUGUCAUGCAUUUAUUAUAA
rnacentral:lncRNA from 1 species